rnacentral:misc_RNA from 1 species
GGAUCAGCCCGCGGAGGAUGUCGUCGCCGCGGCGGCGGCUGCUGCUGCUGUGGCGGCGGCGGCGGCGAGUUACUACGAGCGUAGUAGUUGCUGUUUGCCCGCACGCUCCGCCUCUCGUCCUCUCUCGAACUGCUCUGCCCCAUCGAAACCCUAGAUUUGGAGGUGGGAGAAGGGGGGAAAUAAAAGUAGCCGGAAUGGAUAGGCGGCGGCGGCGGCGGAGACUGCGAUUAAGA